rnacentral:rRNA from 1 species
ACGAACGCUGGCGGCAGGCCUAACACAUGCAAGUCGAACGCUCCAGCAAUGGAGAGUGGCAGACGGGUGAGUAACGCGUGGGAACCUUCCCAGUGGUACGGAAUAGCUCAGGGAAACUUGAGGUAAUACCGUAUAAGCCCCUAGGGGGAAAGAUUUAUCGCCAUUGGAUGGGCCCGCGUCGGAUUAGCUAGUUGGUGAGGUAAUGGCUCACCAAGGCGACGAUCCGUAGCUGGUUUGAGAGAAUGACCAGCCACACUGGGACUGAGACACGGCCCAGACUCCUACGGGAGGCAGCAGUGGGGAAUAUUGGACAAUGGGCGCAAGCCUGAUCCAGCCAUGCCGCGUGAGUGACGAAGGCCUUAGGGUUGUAAAGCUCUUUUGGCGGGGACGAUAAUGACGGUACCCGCAGAAUAAGUCCCGGCUAACUUCGU